UACGGGGGGGGGCAAGCGUUGUUCGGAAUUACUGGGCGUAAAGCGCGCGUAGGCGGACCUGCAAGUCGGGGGUGAAAGCCCGAGGCUCAACCUCGGAACUGCCUUCGAUACUGCGGGUCUCGAGUCCGGGAGAGGUGAGUGGAAUUCCUAGUGUAGAGGUGAAAUUCGUAGAUAUUAGGAAGAACACCAGUGGCGAAGGCGGC
rnacentral:rRNA from 1 species